AAGUCGUAACAAGGUUUCCGUAGGUGAACCUGCGGAAGGAUCAUUAAUGAAAUUGGGGUUUCUGUGCCGCCUUUCACGAGGAUUUGUGCACGCUACCCCUUAAUCCUUUUUCAACACCUGUGCACAUUGAGAGAAUUGCCGCAAGGCGAAUCUCUAUUAUAAACUCAUAAGUCUAUUGAAUGUUCAUUGGCCGAAAGGCUCUAAAUAAAACAACUUUUAACAACGGAUCUCUUGGCUCUC
rnacentral:misc_RNA from 1 species